ACCGUCGCCCGCCUGUAGGAGCAGCUCACGAAGGAUGGAAGGGGGUGUGCGCAGGCGUAGUGCGCGAGGACCCCCCCCCCCUUCUCCGUCUCCCGCUCCUGUUCAACUGUGACGUCUCAGAAGUGCUCGCGACGGUUGGGGAGCCGCGUGUGCGCAGGCGCAGCGCGCGUGGUCACCUCUCCCCCACCUCAACGGCGGCGUGUCAACUGUCGCCCGCCUUGUGGGGUGUCGCGCGACGACCGUUGGUGGCAGGAUGGGCGGGCCCCCCCGCACGGACCCCGCGGGACACAGGCAGGGGAGGCCACUCGUAGCCCCUGGUGCUCAGUGCCCCAGGCUGCCCUGAACGCCUCCCAAGGUGGCCUUAGGUUUUUUGGGGCCCUGAGUCUUUUGGAGCCCCUUAGAGGCAUAAGUAGAAGAAGGAAGGAGUUUUUAAUAAGUUGAAGAAAUAAAGUUUUUUAACACUGAGCUAUGUUCUAGGGUCAUUGCAUCUUCCAUAUGGGCCCGUCUACAACACAAACGCCUCCCAGGACAUAAGCUGAUAGCCUGCGUGGGACCUGGGGCCCUCAAGGCCACGCUGUGAGGCGCGCAGAAGGGAUAACCCCAGAGUCUUCAAAUAGGAACUGGUUGCUGCGGUCUUCCUCCAGUCUUUGAGAAACUCCUCUAUUACCUUUCUGUAAACAAAAAGAAUAGUGAAUGCUAAGAGCUGGCACUUCCCAAGGUGCCCCCAGCCUUCCCAGGGUUGCCUCCAGUCUAGAAAGGUUGAGAUCCACUCACCCAGUGCACACCUAGUUUGGCUGCUGCAAAGGAAAUGCCUACGGGAGGCCCUGAGAUCCUUUCAAGGGUGCCGCAGGUUGCCACGCAGCACUAGUGGUGCUCGGUGUAAUGGCACAAUUCAUGUGACGGACGAGGAAUCUGCAGCAUCAAAAGCAUGUUGACCUGGGAUCUCUCCUGAGGUCUUUGCAAAGGAAGAAUUGCUCUAGUAGUUGUCUGCACUCAAAGAACGAGCGAAAGCUGAGAGCUGGCAUUUUCCAAGGGGGGCCUCAAAUCUAUCGAGGGGCACCUCAAAUCUCCUGAGGGGUGCCCCGAGGCUAAAAAGGUUAAGAGCCACUAGUUCGCAACCUCUCAACCACUAGUUCUCGAGCUUUGAGGCUAAAAAUGUUGAAAACACCUAGGAGACGUUUGUGUGAGCAAAUGGACAGCAGGCAGUGUAUUCUGGAUGAAACAGCAGCCUAUCUAGUCCUUUGAAAAGCACUAUGAAGCUUAACCCCUGGCAGUGAAGCAAUGGCUCCAAACAAGGGAGGUUGCACCAGUGCAAACUGGAGUAAAGAUGCCAGCAUUUGGUGCUUCAGAAAGAAACUUUAGGAUUUGGGUUAGCAAUGAGACAAAGUGGAGGAAUUACGUCAUUCUUUUGUCUCAAAGAUUGCCAGCAAGAAUCUCAAGCUUCAUCAGAAUAGUGUUGCUAAACACAUUCAAAAUACUGUACUGGUACAAACAGGUACAUAUGUAUUAACAACACUUACGGGAAAGAAGACCCCUGGAACGAGUCACCGGAGUGGUUCCCUUCACCCACUGGUACUGGAUUCACUGGCUGAUUGAGUCUCUCCAUUGGAUCACAUUCCUCACUGGGUCUUGCCAGGUUACUGGCCCAAGAGGGCUCACUCACCGGUGUGAUCUUCGCUGGACCUUCCAGGAUGCUCUACCACCACAAGCCUCACCUCUGGUAAGUUGAUUCCUUUCCACCACCUGUCCUCUCAGGUGGCUUGGGCGGUCACUGCACCUCCAUGCAGUCACACUUUCCUCUGGUCUAGGAUGGGGUUUUAAUUUCAUGGCUGUUUUUCUGAGCCAAUCAAUGCCACUUCUGGUCUGCCACAGCAGCUGCUACUAAUUAUA